rnacentral:rRNA from 1 species
AUGUUUUCCCCUCUGGAAAUGUGUGAGCAGCUCCACAUCUGUGAUGGAGUUACACAUGGCUUUCCCUUGACGGUAAAUGUGUCAUCUUCAAGAUCAUACCUAUUGGCAACCCAGUUCAGUGAUUUGCGGCGAUUGUGUACUGGCUUCAUCUUCAGGAUGUCUCGGAGUCCCACCAUUCUGAUAAGGUCCACCUAUGGUGAGGAGUUCAUGGAGCCUUUGGCUCAUCAGAAUGUAGAGAAAAUCCAAAGGAGAUAUCCAGAGGAUUGGGAAAGGGGGCCAAGGAAGAGCUAUAUUUCGACAUUACCGCAUAUCGUCAGCAAUUUGAGGUGUGGUUUACUUAGUGCCUUCCGGUCUCCGUUGUAA